AGUGAACGCUGGCGGUAGGCCUAACACAUGCAAGUCGAACGGCAGCACAGUAAGAGCUUGCUCUUACGGGUGGCGAGUGGCGGACGGGUGAGGAAUACAUCGGAAUCUACUUUUUCGUGGGGGAUAACGUAGGGAAACUUACGCUCAUACCGCAUACGACCUACGGGUGAAAGCAGGGGAUCUUCGGACCUUGCGCGAUUGAAUGAGCCGAUGUCGGAUUAGCUAGUUGGCGGGGUAAAGGCCCACCAAGGCGACGAUCCGUAGCUGGUCUGAGAGGAUGAUCAGCCACACUGGAACUGAGACACGGUCCAGACUCCUACGGGAGGCAGCAGUGGGGAAUAUUGGACAAUGGGCGCAAGCCUGAUCCAGCCAUACCGCGUGGGUGAAGAAGGCCUUCGGGUUGGAAAGCCCUUUUGUUGGGAAAGAAAAGCAGCAGGUUAAUACCCCGCUGUUCUGACGGUACCCAAAGAAUAAGCACCGGCUAACUUCGUG
rnacentral:rRNA from 1 species